UUCUGGAUUUCUCCCUGACACUGAGCAGUAAGAAUGAGCUUCUUCAUGCAUCCCUAUUCAAAUACUUGGAUAAAAAUAUAAUAUACACAUAUAAUUUUCUUCAGGAUCCUUCAGUACUUAUCAGUCAAAAGACCAAUAAUGAUUUUCCCCUGGUAUGCCUGUGCCAUGAGAGGAUCUUAGGCGUGUGCAGAAAAUUUUUAAGGAGCAUUAAUUAUUUUUGAAGAAAGUUCAAAGCACAAAAUGGUCUGCUAAAGUUUGAGAUCUGGAA